GCGGGAGUAGCUCAGUCCGGCCAGAGCGUCAGCCUUCCAAGCUGAGGGUCGCGGGUUCGAAUCCCGUCUCCCGCUCCA
rnacentral:tRNA from 1 species